GGGGAAAGGCUAUAACGAUUAUG
rnacentral:miRNA from 1 species